AAGGUUUCGGGUACUCAGUGCCCAAACUUCAACCCUAUGUUUAUAUUAUAUAUGUUUCUUUGCCGGUUUCGGCCGGCAGAAGUUUUCUCAAACCCAUUCUAAAUGUGUCUUCUGAAUAACAAAUUAAAUGAAUUA
rnacentral:misc_RNA from 1 species